CAGUCGCCGCGGUAAAACGGAGGGAGCUAGCGUUGUUCGGAAUCACUGGGCGUAAAGCGCACGUAGGCGGCUAUUCAAGUCAGGGGUGAAAGCCCGGGGCUCAACCCCGGAACUGCCUUUGAAACUAGAUAGCUUGAAUCUUGGAGAGGCGAGUGGAAUUCCGAGUGUAGAGGUGAAAUUCGUUGAUAUUCGGAAGAACACCAGUGGCGAAGGCGACUCGCUGGACAAGUAUUGACGCUGAGGUGCGAAAGCGUGGGGAGCAAACAGGAUUAGAUACCCCGGUAGUCCCUGUCUCUUAUAC
rnacentral:rRNA from 1 species